GAUUAUGGCUCAGGAUGAACGCUGGCGGCGUGCUUAAUACAUGCAAGUCGAACGAAGACAUCUCGCCGAAGCUUGCCUCAUUGAGAUAUCUUAGUGGCGGACGGGUGAGUAACGCGUGGGUAACCUGCCUUACACGAGGGGGAUAACAGUUAGAAAUGACUGCUAAUACCGCAUAAGCGCACAUUAUCGCAUGAUAGAGUGUAGAAAAGUAUUUAUCGGUGUAAGAUCGGACCCGCGUCUGAUUAGCUAGUUGGUGAGGUAACGGCCCCACCAAGGCGACGAUCAGUAGCCGGCCUGAGAGGGUGAACGGCCACAUUGGGACUGAGACACGGCCCAAACUCCUACGGGAGGCAGCAGUAGGGAAUAUUGGACAAUGGGGGAAACCCUGAUCCCAGCGACGCCGCGUGAGUGAAGAAGUAUUUCGGUACGUAAAGCUCUAUCAGCAGGGAAGAAAAUGACGGUACCUGACUAAGAAGCACCGGCUAAAUACGUGCCAGCCGCGGC
rnacentral:rRNA from 1 species